CACGUAGGGCGCAAGCGUUGUCCGGAUUUACUGGGCGUAAAGAGCGCGCAGGCGGUCGGGUAAGUCGAAUGUGAAAGCCCCCGGCUCAACUGGGGAGGGUCAUUCGAUACUGUUCGACUCGAAGGCAGGAGAGGGAAGUGGAAUUCCCGGUGUAGUGGUGAAAUGCGUAGAUAUCGGGAGGAACACCAGUGGCGAAGGCGACUUCCUGGCCUGUUCUUGACGCUGAGGCGCGAAAGCUAGGGGAGCAAACGGG
rnacentral:rRNA from 1 species